rnacentral:rRNA from 1 species
GAUGAACGCUGGCGGCGUGCCUAAUACAUGCAAGUCGAGCGAAUGGAUUAAGAGCUUGCUCUUAUGAAGUUAGCGGCGGACGGGUGAGUAACACGUGGGUAACCUGCCCAUAAGACUGGGAUAACUCCGGGAAACCGGGGCUAAUACCGGAUAAUAUUUUGAACUGCAUGGUUCAAAAUUGAAAGGCGGCUUCGGCUGUCACUUAUGGAUGGACCCGCGUCGCAUUAGCUAGUUGGUGAGGUAACGGCUCACCAAGGCAACGAUGCGUAGCCGACCUGAGAGGGUGAGCGGCCACACUGGGACUGAGACACGGCCCAGACGCCUACGGGAGGCAGCAGUAGGGAAUCUUCCGCAAUGGACGAAAGUCUGACGGAGCAACGCCGCGUGAGUGAUGAAGGCUUUCGGGUCGUAAAACUCUGUUGUUAGGGAAGAACAAGUGCUAGUUGAAUAAGCUGCACCUUGACGGUACCUAACCAGAAAGCCACGGCUAACUACGUGCCAGCCGCCGCCGUAA